rnacentral:rRNA from 1 species
UGAGUAGGCGGUUAUGUAUGUCAGGUGUAAAAGGCGUAGGCUUAACUUACGUUAGCACUUGAAACUGCAUAACUUGAGUGCAGGAGAGGUAAGUGGAAUUCCUAGUGUAGCGGUGAAAUGCGUAGAUAUUAGGAGGAACACCAGUGGCGAAGGCGACUUACUGGACUGUAACUGACGCUGAGUCACGAAAGCGUGGGUAGCAAACA